UACAGAGGUCUCAAGCGUUGUUCGGAUUCAUUGGGCGUAAAGGGUGCGUAGGCGGCGCGGUAAGUCGGGUGUGAAAUCUUGGAGCUUAACUCCGAAACUGCAUUCGAUACUGCCGUGCUUGAGGACUGGAGAGGAGACUGGAAUUUACGGUGUAGCGGUGAAAUGCGUAGAUAUCGUAAGGAGGACCAGUGGCGAAGGCGGGUCUCUGGACAGUUCCUGACGCUGAAGCACGAAGGCCAGGGGAGCAAACGGG
rnacentral:rRNA from 1 species